rnacentral:rRNA from 1 species
GACGAACGCUGGCGGCGUGCUUAACACAUGCAAGUCGAACGAUGAAGAAGAGCUUGCUCUUCGGAUUAGUGGCGAACGGGUGAGUAACACGUGACUAACCUGCCCCUUUCUCUGGGAUAACGCUCCGAAAGGAGUGCUAAUACCGGAUACUCACAUCGAGGCACAUGCCUUGAUGUGGAAAGUUUUUCGGAAAGGGAGGGAGUCGCGGCCUAUCAGCUUGUUGGUGAGGUAACGGCUCACCAAGGCGACGACGGGUAGCCGGCCUGAGAGGGCGACCGGCCACGCUGGGACUGAGACACGGCCCAGACUCCGACGGGAGGCAGCAGUGGGGAAUAUUGCACAAUGGGCGAAAGCCUGAUGCAGCGACGCCGCGUGAGGGAUGAAGGUCUUCGGAUUGUAAACCUCUUUCAGUAGGGACGAAGCGAGAGUGACGGUACCUAAAGAAGAAGCACCGGCUAACUACGUGCCAGCCGCCGCGGUAA